rnacentral:tRNA from 1 species
GGGUCGGUGGCGUAGCUGAUUAUCGCAUCUGUCUAAUACACAGAAGGUCCUCAGUUCGAACCUGGGCCGACUCA